rnacentral:tRNA from 1 species
UUAGUGUGGCAGAACAGGUUAUGCAAAAGACCUAAGCUCUUUUCAUUAGGGGUUCAAAUCCCCUCACUAACU